AGCCGAAACAGCGGAUUUUUCCGCUGUCUGCCAGAAAUAGUCUACUGGCACUGAUGAGGCAGACUAAA
rnacentral:hammerhead_ribozyme from 1 species